rnacentral:lncRNA from 1 species
AGGUCUUCGGAAUGUGAGUACCGAUGCAGCAAGCUCAUCUUCUAUACCACCAAGCAUUGCAACAAUGAAGUCUGUGGGGGAACUCCUUUCUGACAUUGCUCCAGUUGCUACUGUAAAUAUACAAAUUUGUCAUCUUUAGCUCACCUUUCUUACUACAAAAGUUUUGUGUUUUCUUUUAAAUGUAUAGCUAAGCCUUAAAAGGGUAAAAUACUAUGUCGGAAAGUAAGUAAAAGGCUUGGAUAUGCUUAAAAGUGACUUUCAAGUACUACUACCGUUUUAGGCUUAGAAAACAUGCUCUUAAUGCUUUGUCCAAAAGAUAACGACUUUAUUUAGUUGCCAGUGUGAGAAAAAUAUGGCUUUUCAUGGUUGAAACUAAAACUGGAUUCAUUUAACACGAGAAAGAUUUUUCAUACCUUCUGCUUUUUGCGUUGAUUACUCCAGGAUUCUUUGGUUAACGAAGACAACACACACAGUGGCAAUAGCCCUUCACUUGUACAGGUAUUUAAAUUUACUGCACGAUCCAAUUGGGAUACCUGGUACUUGAACUUAGCUAGAUUUUU